rnacentral:misc_RNA from 1 species
AAAAAAAAAAAAAGAAACAAAUCUUCAAAGGGAAGACUGUUUUAGCCCAUUCAAAAUAAAAGAGCAAAAAGUUUUUCAACAUAUUUUAAUAUUUACCAAAAACACUUGAGAACCAUAAGUUAUCGGCAAUUACUUAUUAUUACUUUCAAAAGCUUACAAAUAAUCCUGUUAAAUUCGGAGAGACUGCUGGUCAAAUAAUGUAUUAAUUAAAUUUUAAUCUGGGAUUAUAUAAGUGAUUUGAGUUACUUUACACAUUAAAAU